rnacentral:tRNA from 1 species
GAGCCUAAAGUUAAAAAAUUAAACAACUAUUUUGAAAAUAGAAGAAAUAGGUUUC